GAUGAACGCUGGCGGCGUGCCUAAUACAUGCAAGUCGAGCGAACGGACGAGAAGCUUGCUUCUCUGAUGUUAGCGGCGGACGGGUGAGUAACACGUGGAUAACCUACCUAUAAGACCGGGAUAACUUCGGGAAACCGGAGCUAAUACCGGAUAAUAUUUUGAACCGCAUGGUUCAAAAGUGAAAGACGGUCUUGCUGUCACUUAUAGAUGGAUCCGCGCUGCAUUAGCUAGUUGGUAAGGUAACGGCUUACCAAGGCAACGAUGCAUAGCCGACCUGAGAGGGUGAUCGGCCACACUGGAACUGAGACACGGUCCAGACUCCUACGGGAGGCAGCAGUAGGGAAUCUUCCGCAAUGGGCGAAAGCCUGACGGAGCAACGCCGCGUGAGUGAUGAAGGUCUUCGGAUCGUAAAACUCUGUUAUUAGGGAAGAACAUAUGUGUAAGUAACUGUGCACAUCUUGACGGUACCUAAUCAGAAAGCCACGGCUAACUACGUGCCAGCAGCCGCGGUAAUACGUAGGUGGCAAGCGUUAUCCGGAAUUAUUGGGCGUAAAGCGCGCGUAGGCGGUUUUUUAAGUCUGAUGUGAAAGCCCACGGCUCAACCGUGGAGGGUCAUUGGAAACUGGAAAACUUGAGUGCAGAAGAGGAAAGUGGAAUUCCAUGUGUAGCGGUGAAAUGCGCAGAGAUAUGGAGGAACACCAGUGGCGAAGGCGACUUUCUGGUCUGUAACUGACGCUGAUGUGCGAAAGCGUGGGGAUCAAACAGGAUUAGAUACCCUGGUAGUCCACGCCGUAAACGAUGAGUGCUAAGUGUUAGGGGGUUUCCGCCCCUUAGUGCUGCAGCUAACGCAUUAAGCACUCCGCCUGGGGGGUACGACCGCAAGGUUGAAACUCAAAGGAAUUGACGGGGACCCGCACAAGCGGUGGAGCAUGUGGUUUAAUUCGAAGCAACGCGAAGAACCUUACCAAAUCUUGACAUCCUUUGACAACUCUAGAGAUAGAGCCUUCCCCUUCGGGGGACAAAGUGACAGGUGGUGCAUGGUUGUCGUCAGCUCGUGUCGUGAGAUGUUGGGUUAAGUCCCGCAACGAGCGCAACCCUUAAGCUUAGUUGCCAUCAUUAAGUUGGGCACUCUAAGUUGACUGCCGGUGACAAACCGGAGGAAGGUGGGGAUGACGUCAAAUCAUCAUGCCCCUUAUGAUUUGGGCUACACACGUGCUACAAUGGACAAUACAAAGGGCAGCGAAACCGCGAGGUCAAGCAAAUCCCAUAAAGUUGUUCUCAGUUCGGAUUGUAGUCUGCAACUCGACUACAUGAAGCUGGAAUCGCUAGUAAUCGUAGAUCAGCAUGCUACGGUGAAUACGUUCCCGGGUCU
rnacentral:rRNA from 1 species